CUUGGUCAUUUAGAGGAAGUAAAAGUCGUAACAAGGUCUCCGUAGGUGAACCUGCGGAGGGAUCAUUACACAAAUAUGAAGGCGGGCUGGAACCUCUCGGGGUUACAGCCUUGCUGAAUUAUUCACCCUUGUCUUUUGCGUACUUCUUGUUUCCUUGGUGGGUUCGCCCACCACUAGGACAAACAUAAACCUUUUGUAAUUGCAAUCAGCGUCAGUAACAAAUUAAUAAUUACAACUUUCAACAACGGAUCUCUUGGUUCUGGCAUCGAUGAAGAACGCAGCGAAAUGCGAUAAGUGGUGUGAAUUGCAGAAUUCAGUGAAUCAUCGAAUCUUUGAACGCACAUUGCGCCCUUUGGUAUUCCAAAGGGCAUGCCUGUUCGAGCGUCAUUUGUACCCUCAAGCUUUGCUUGGUGUUGGGCGUCUUGUCUCUAGCUUUGCUGGAGACUCGCCUUAAAGUAAUUGGCAGCCGGCCUACUGGUUUCGGAGCGCAGCACAAGUCGCACUCUCUAUCAGCAAAGGUCUAGCAUCCAUUAAGCCUUUUUUUCAACUUUUGACCUCGGAUCAGGUAGGGAUACCCGCUGAACUUAAGCAUAUCAAUAAGCGGAGGAAAAGAAACCAACAGGGAUUGCCCUAGUAACGGCGAGUGAAGCGGUAACAGCUCAAAUUUGAAAUCUGGCUCUUUUAGAGUCCGAGUUGUAAUUUGCAGAGGGCGCUUUGGCUUUGGCAGCGGUCCAAG
rnacentral:rRNA from 1 species